UACGGAGGGUGCAAGCGUUAUCCGGAUUCACUGGGUUUAAAGGGUGCGUAGGCGGGCAGGUAAGUCCGUGGUGAAAUCUCUGAGCUUAACUCAGAAACUGCCAUGGAUACUAUUUGUCUUGAAUAUUGUGGAGGUAAGCGGAAUAUGUCAUGUAGCGGUGAAUGCUUAGAUAUGACAUAGAACACCAAUUGCGAAGGCAGCUUACUACACAGUUAUUGACGCUGAGGCACGAAAGCGUGGGGAUCAAACAGG
rnacentral:rRNA from 1 species